UACAGAGGUCUCAAGCGUUGUUCGGAUUCAUUGGGCGUAAAGGGUGCGUAGGCGGCUUGCCCCGUCAGAUGUGAAAUUCCUGGGCUUAACCUGGGGGCUGCAUUUGAUACGUGUGGGCUUGAGUGCGGAAGAGGGUCGUGGAAUUCCCAGUGUAGAGGUGAAAUUCGUAGAUAUUGGGAAGAACACCGGUGGCGAAGGCGGCGACCUGGUCCGUGACUGACGCUGAGGCGCGAAAGCGUGGGGAGCAAACAGG
rnacentral:rRNA from 1 species